rnacentral:miRNA from 1 species
AGAAAGAACCAAUAUUA